UAGUGGUAUGAGGUUUAAAACUAUUUAAGGAUGAGGAGGAGAAAGAGUCUUCAGGAAACUCUUGUUUCACUGGACUCUGCAGUCUGCAGAACUGGGGCAAGGGUAGGAGUUCCAGUAGGGGAAGGAGCAGGUAGACUCUGCAGCUGCCUCAGGUGGGACUCAAGACCUAAACUGAUUCUCUUUCCUCUCCACUCCUAAGAAGCAAUUUUCUGUUCCUCUCCUCCCACCACUUUUUACUUUCUGCUUCCUCCCGUCUCCCGCUUCCCUUCCAUUUCCUUUCUAGAAAACCCUGGUAUUCAACUCAGGCCAAACUGCCUCAGCAGAAAGGUGGCCUUGCACAAAACUGGUCCAAGAAUUUGAAGUGGCAGUGUUUGCACAUUGGCUCUGUCCAGCAAGGCCUCAGCUGCUUGUUGCCUCUGCUUUCCCUCCCCUCACACAGAGGUGCCCUGGCUUAUUCAGGGGACUCCUUAGUCCACACUGUGUCACCUGCAGGCCUUAAUCUUUCAUUGCUGGGGCGUGGCCUUGGGAGAUCUUGGGCCAGCCCCUCCAUACAUCUCCCUAAGUCAGACUGGCUGCUGGCCCUGGUAGAUUUGACUUGCUUUUGCCUCACUCGACCUUCAGAGUGGGACUGAAGACAGUGGCCGAGAGACUUGAGUUUGGGACAGUGAGCCAGGGGUUAAGGUUCUUUCCUUUUUUUGAAAGCCAAAGACCCAGUUUGAAUUGUGCUGCUGCAUUCAUGGUUAGAAGCUUUCCAUGCCUAUGUUCUAGGGAAUUUACUUUUCUAUAUGUGUAUAUUUUUAAACUUUGUUUCCUGGGUACUGGGCAUGUGCCUGUCUGAGCCCCAGGUCUGUCUACACCCCACCAUUCCUUCUGUCUGUCCGUCCCCUGGACACUGCCUAAAGGGGUCUCAAGCCAGUGCCCUAUGGGUUCCUAGGACUAGGGCCCGUUACUGUUCUCUUCUGCUGGGAAAUGCAGCUUUAAAAUGGCUAACGAGGGCAGAGGGCAGGUGCUUGAUAGUUUUAUCUUUUCCUUGCUUUCUUACUUGUUUCUGUUUUGAAUAUGAAAUGGGGUUUUAAAUGGUUAUUAAACUCUUUUUCCAAAUAAAGGUUUACCUUUUUUCCCCCCAUUGUUGGUCAUUUUAUUAGGAUCCUGAAGGGAUUAGGUCCUUGAGAGAGGGCCUGAAGAAUGAGAUGGGCAGAGGAAGAGACUGAGGAGCUUUUGAUUUUGGGGUGGGGUCUCAAGACAUAAAUCUAGAUUGAGAAAUGUGUUGUAAGGUUUCCCUCUAUUAGCUGAGGUAGAUUCCCACUGCUCUGAGGCCUGGGAGGAACAGGGCCUGAGUGAAGCCUCCUGCCUUGACACUGUUGGGGUAUAGCUUUCUUCUGUCCUUGCCAAGUGAGAGAAUGACUCUUUGGACUGCUUUUCAUUCUUCCUCCAUCUGCUCCCCCCAUGCCUCCCUCUAGUAUCUACUGCGCUUCAGGAGGGUCUGUGCAAAGUGGGAUAAGAUGUGUGUUUUCCUGGUUAAAGCUAUGGCAGCUGCAUGAGACAUGAUGCGGGUGGCACAUGCCUCUUGCUGAGCAUCUAUUUCUGAUCUCUUUUGCAUUCUGGAGCCAGGGCUGAGCAGUGGGCCAUCUGUCGCUG